UGAAUGUACUGUAAUUGCUGUAAUGCUGUAAUGAAUGGGUGUUCUCUGAUAUAGUACACUGUACUGAUAUGAACGAGUGUAGUUGGUGUCCGGUCAGUACGGUCCCUAGAAUAUCCGUAGUUGGUGUAGUGUAGGUGUAGUCGUUGGUUUGGUUGGUUUGGUGGCGAGUUCAGUUGUUUGAUGACAUUCGUUUCAGUCUGGGCGUGUUGAACAAAAGCCAAUCCAAACUGCUGCAACGCGCACGUUUGGCAGCUAUGACUGACAAACCACAUAAUGCCGGCCGAACCUUAAGAGAGGCGGUUGAAAGUGUGACAGAGAGAUACGCCGCCCUAGCAGAAGCCUAUGGCAGUGAAGUUUCUUGUGUGUUCGACGGAUGCUCGUGGACUACGUGCGAGAGUGAAGAACCUUCGACUGUCUGUGGCACCGCAGGCAGCUCACUAAGCACCAAGGAGUGUGCCGUGGCGAAGCCUGGCGCCAUCGCAACGCAGAUAUCAACGCCUGCAGAAGACACCGAGGCCGCCGCUUCACCGCCGUUAGUGACGUCGCAGUGUGCACUCAGUCUCACGUCAGGGACGCCAGUGCCUAUCACCGACAGCGACAACAUGACAUCGCAGAAGCCACACUCUGGGCCCGAUCUCCGCAACGUACCUCCGUGCCCUUUGGGACUGUGGCGCAAGAAAGCACCGGAAUAUCGCCCCCACGACAAGCUCCGGCGAAUACUGGGCGAGGAACAGUGGCACAGCCUGUUUUCUGGAAAUUCUGGAAACUAGUCUUAACAUCUCCCUUAGCGGCUAAUUGGGCAAACUUCAAGCGGACUUGUAAGACCUCUGACGACGCUGAAUAGCCAUCGCUAUUCCCCGUGAACUUACUCUUAAGAAUAUCUAUUUCUAUGCGCCAAUUGCAAACUAUCCCUUUUUACCUUAAAUCGGUUUGCAAGGGGCGCAACGACGAUUAAGCGAUGCCUGAGCACAUUUUAAGUUUGUGAUGCUCGAAUGGGAAAACAAUGUACACAUCUUUGACGCCAAAGCCAGAAUGUUCUUCAUUGUCAAGUUCUUGUGCAAUGAUGCCAGCACAAAUGCAUGACAUACAUGACGCUGGUGAAGCUUUUGUGACACUCGAAUAUGUGAAGUAUGCAUGUCUGAUGCUACAGCCAAUGUUUUCGGCUAUUAAGUUUAUGUACGUUGCCUGCAAAUAUAUGUAUGUAUCGGACAGACCUCAGGAUAUGUUUGCACAAAGGGAACAAAAUGAGAAACAGUGCAAAGACGACCACAUGAGCUUUUUAUUUUGAGUAUCUUUUGGCCAGAUUACAAAGAUGUUUUGUAGUGCUCGUAAAAUAUAUAGGCCCUCACUUCACAUACAUUUGUUUUAUGAUGAGUAGAAUGUGUCUGUACAUUUGAAUGAAGUAAGUACAUGGGCAGUAACUGGUCUUACUCAA